UACGAAGGGAGCUAGCGUUGUUCGGAAUCACUGGGCGUAAAGCGCACGUAGGCGGAUGUGUCAGUCAGGGGUGAAAUCCCGGAGCUCAACUUCGGAACUGCCUUUGAUACAGCACGUCUUGAGUCCGAUAGAGGUGGGUGGAAUUCCUAGUGUAGAGGUGAAAUUCGUAGAUAUUCGGAAGAACACCAGUGGCGAAGGCGACUCACUGGACACGUAUUGACGCUGAGGUGCGAAAGCGUGGGGAGCAAACAGG
rnacentral:rRNA from 1 species